CACGGUUGCAGUCUUAUAUAUGGUAUACCCUUUGUUAAAAUGGAAGGUCAAAAUGUAACAUGGAACCAUAGUUUAGGAUAUGCUCCUAAUUAUACUCUUGGUUCUGACGGUAUUCCCAUUCAAAGUAUUCCAGUAUCUACUCAAUUUCCACCAACAGUUAACUUCUCAUCACACUUGAAUGCUCUUAUGUAUCCUAGAGCACACAUUUUUCCUCAUAAUACAUCGUUUUUAGGUGUGCUGGAACAGGUUGAGAGUUCGGCAAAAAUGGCUUGCAAGAAAAAUGAUCCAUCUAUUUUAGACAAUAAAUAAGAAAGAGAUAUAUAGAUUGAAAAAGAAUCUGAGUCCUAAUGCAAAACUGACAAUGUUAUCAGAUUUGAAUAGAUUUUCUUUUUACCCGGAGGUCUGAUUUACCAUGGAGAUAUAUGUUGUUGAUUACUUGCUAUAGACAUUACAAAAAAAGUGGGACUGCUCUACAAUCAAGCAUGUAGUGAGGGCAUGAUGAAUGUCUUGUGUGGGA